rnacentral:rRNA from 1 species
AUGUCGGCGCUAGUACCCUGGUACAUCUUGGCGAUGAUGGGGUUGCACAGGGCCUCCAGCUCCUUCAUCUUGUCCUCAAACUCAUCCGCCUCAGCGAGCUGGUUCAUGUCCAGCCACUGGAUGGCAGCGUCAAUGUCCUCCUCGAUCUUCUUCUUGUCAUCCGCCGGCAGCUUGGAGGCGAUCUUAUCGUCCUUGAUGGUGUUGCGCAUGUUGUACGAGUAG